AUACGUAGGGUGCAAGCGUUAAUCGGAAUUACUGGGCGUAAAGCGUGCGCAGGCGGUUUUGAAAGACAGAGGUGAAAUCCCCGGGCUCAACCUGGGAACUGCCUUUGUGACUGCCAGGCUAGAGUAAGACAGAGGGGGAUGGAAUUCCCCGUGUAGAGGUGAAAUGCGUAGAUAUGGGGAGGAACACCGAUGGCGAAGGCAAUCCCCUGGGCCUGUACUGACGCUCAUGCACGAAAGCGUGGGGAGCAAACAGGAUUAGAUACCCUGGUAGUCCACGCCCUAAACGAUGUCAACUGGUUGUUGGGUCUUCAUUGACUCAGUAACGAAGCUAACGCGUGAAGUUGACCGCCUGGGGAGUACGGCCGCAAGGUUGAAACUCAAAUGAAUUGACGGGG
rnacentral:rRNA from 1 species